rnacentral:lncRNA from 1 species
GCUACUAAUGGGUUAUACACAUGAGGUUUGGUAAUUAUAAAAAAUAUUGAUGCAAGCAGGAAAUCUUGGCACGGCGGCAGUGUGUAGUUCUCAGAGCAGGAGUAACAGGACACACACAUUUGUCUUCGGCUUGCUACUCAUACAACUGUCGUUUCCAACUGUUGUGGAACCUUCUGGUUGCAAAAUUCCAUCCCUCACAUAGUAACAAGAGAGUCAAAACAGUCCCUCCCUCCAGAGCUUUGAUCACACAACAGUUUUGUAACCAUGUUCUCUCAGAAAGUUCCAUAGUCCACCCGUCUGGAACAAAAUAGUGAUUUCCAGAAAG